GGCAAAUAAAGUUGGAUGAUGUUUUCUACAUCCCGUCUUUGGAGCAAAAUCUGAUGUCAGUAGGGACACUGACAGACAAAGGUAACAUGGUUGUUUUCAUGAAAGAUAAAUGUUUUGUUCUCAACAAUUCACAUGACAGACUAAUAAUAGGCUCUUGCAGUAGAGAUAAUACAAAUGGCCUCUACAGAAUGGGAGAACAUACCAUCUACGACGUAAAUAAUAAAACACACAAGGAAAAGAUGAGUUUAUGGCAUCGCAAAUAUGGACACUUAAGCUAUUCAGGUCUACGUCAUCUUUAUCUAAAACAUAGAGUUGCUAACUUAUCAAAAAUAGAUUUUAUCAAAGAUACUUAUCAUGAUUGUCUAGAUGGUUGCCAAAAGAGAGAAAGUUUUUCUAUCAAAAGUACAUCAAGAGCUCAGCAUGUAUUAGAACUAGUCCAUUCAGAUGUAGUAGGGCCACUUCCUAAAGCAUCCCUAAGUGGUUCAAGAUAUUAUGUCAUAUUUACUAAUGAUCAUUCAAGGAAGAGUUGGCUUUACUUUCUAAAAGCAAAGGGACAAGUAUUUGAAAAAUUCAGAAUCUUUAGGGAGAGAACAGAAAAGGAAAUAGGGAAAGAACUCAAGAUUCUUAGAACUGAUAAAGGAGGAGACUUCUUGUCAAAAUAAUUCAAUGACAAUUGUGACUAGAACGGAAUUUGCAAACAACUUACGCAACCUAGAACUCCACAACAGAAUGGAGUUGCAGAAAGGCGAAAUUGAACAUCGGUGGAAAAAGCAAGAAGCAUGGUGUUUGAGGAAGGAAUACCCAGUUUUCUCAAGGCAGAAGUCAUAAACACAGCCAAUUAUCUUGUAAAUCACAGCCCUACACAAGCAAAUCAUGGAGUCACUCCUGAGCAAAGACAGUGUUUACCAUCACUGGACAACAACUGUGAAACCAGCAAAGACACCUGAUUUCAGCAAUGACUUGAUCCACGAAGGACCAUACUCCCCGGAUGAACAGCCGCACCUCACACCAUUUGAACCAACUUUGGACUUAGUAAAUCACGGCAGCAAAAAGUCAACAUCAAAUCAAAAUCAUGCACCACCAAGAGACAGUAACCCUGUUGGAACUCAUCUCUCCGCACAACAUCACAGGAAACUAAAAGGCAACAAAUUAUCAUCAGUAAACCAAUACCCAAUAAGAGACCGACGGCCCUCCACACAACUUAAGGAUCACCUCACCUUCACCACCGAAAUCAGUGACGAAGAGGAACUUGCAAAUUACAACGAAGCUAUCAUUAGCAAAACAUGGCGAAGAGCGAUUGCGGAAGAAGUAAGCUCCAUCCACAAAAAUGAAUCCAGGGAGGUAACGGAUCUACCCUACGGAAAACGACCCAUAAAGGCAAAAUGGAUUUUCUAAAUCAAAAGAAAUGCACAAGGAGAAAUCAUCAAACACAAAGCCCGCAUUAUUGCUCAAGGUUUUGAGCAGAUUGAAGGAGAGGAUUUUUAAGAGACUUUUGCCCCAGUAGUUCGCAGGAGCACAAUCCGCACAACCAUUGCUCUUCCCACACGGAAGAAAUGGAAACUCAAACAGUUUGACAUUAAGACCGCAUUCUUAAACGGAAAAAUAGAAGAGGAGGUGUAUAUGAAGAUGCCAGAUGGUUUCAGCGGCAAGGACUCAGCAGGGAAGGUCGCUCGGCUGAAACGUGCCAUGUAUGGGUUGCGCCAAGCACCUCGCAACUAGUAUAGCCGCAUAGAUGCUUACCUCACAAAAGAUCUAAAUCUGCAAAAAAAAAAAAACCUCCAAUCCAAACCUCUACUUUUCCAUCACAUACAGAAAAUACACAGUAGUUUUACUCUACGUAGACGACUUAAUUGUAACUGGUGACAAUCAAGAUGAAAUCGGCAAGAUGGAGAUUCUACUCAAAACAAAAUUUGAGAUGACCAGCUUAGGGAGGGCGGCACUGUACCUAGGAGCAGAGCUAACAUACAUAGACGAAGGAAUUUUCAUUCACCAACGCGGGUACCAGCUGAACCUUCUGAAAAAGUAUGAUAUCGAAAAGUGUAAUUUGCUCAAAUUUCCGAUGAAUCCGGGUGUUCACCUGCGAGCAGAGAUGGACUCACCUCUCACCAAUCUCAAGUUAUACCAAAGCAUGACCGACAGCCUAAUUUGGGCCACGAAUACAAGUCCUGACUUAUCACUCGCGGUCG
rnacentral:lncRNA from 1 species